GCCUUCUCUCGAGAUACCUCGGGAGCCCGCGUGAAUAGACCUCUCCUGGGGUACGUCACACAGAACGAGUGACGUCAUGUCACAUGACCCUUACGCGCGCGUGGGUGGUUGUAGUUUACGGCUGGUUCGCAAACCAUUUCAGUGCUCCUUGUGUAGUGGGUCCGCACGAGCGCAACUUCACGCCGGUGUUGCUUCGUUUUGUGAGCGCCUAUCUACCAUGUCUAGCAUGGGGGUUAGUUGUUGCCAAGCGCGCGGCGAAAGGCAGCGGCGUCGGUUUUUUUUUUCGUUUUCCGAAAGAAAACACUCGUCGCAAAGUAUGGGUGCAAGCUGGGCACCAAGAAAAAUUGCAGCCCUCAGACAGCAGCAGAAUUUGCGGCCUACAUUUCAUCACUGGUGCUCCGUCUCCAUUCCCGAACCACACGGACUGGGCACCUAGCAUUUUUGCCUUCAAGAGGGCUAACCGCGAAGCUGAAGAAAAGAAAUGCGACAGAUACGAACAGACGUUCAAGUGAAAACGUUGGUAGGGUAAGUGGCGGUUGCGAAGUCGUACAGUUGCGGCGCGCUGCAGGCCGGCGAUGCUCACAUUUCGCCUGCCCUCUGCUGAAGUAUGCGGCCGGCUAUCACUCAGCCUAAAGGAAUGCAUUCUCUCCCGCUACAUAAAAUAACGUCGUCUUUUUUCCCAUUUAUGAAAUCUGAAGCGUGUUAUUAACGGGACCUAUGAGACAUCGAAAGAGCGGCACCAUCUAAUAUGCGUACA